AAAUAUUUGAUCCGCCCACUCAAUAUUGCCAUUUCACUUAUCCUUUCCCUCUCCUUUCUAUUCUUAUACAGGGUCUGGUAGUGUCCUUAUUUCCAUUGGUUGUUUCAUUGGUGCUUUAGUCUCAGGAGCAUAUUUCCGAGCACAUUUCUCACCUCAACACGUUGCUAAAUGACAGUCUGUCGUCUGGUAAGGGCUAAUGACUACUACUGUAACACCAUUAAAUACAGGCAUAUGCAUUUAAGAGUAAUGGUAACAGUAGUCUCGAGACUAUGGUAACAGAUAUGGGUAAUGUCUGUAAGAGUGUAGCAGCUUCUCCACUCCGGCUUUUGGUUGGUUUGUACUUAUCUACUCAUAGACUCAUUCUGUACUCUGAAAGUUCCUUGAAAGGCUCUCCCGUGUUGUUAUCAUGCUGCAGCAAUUAAAAGGGCCUAGUAGUGUCCUUAUUUUCCAUUGGUUGUUUCAUUGGUGCUUUAGUCUCUGGAGAUACACUACAGAUCAUGUGAUAAUCAAGUGACAUGUGCGUCAUUAUUUUGUAGCAUCAUUGGUGGUGCCUUCACUGCCUUGCAAGUAUCUUCUUUUAAUUUAUGGUGGCUAGUGAAGAAAGGGAAGAGCAAGAAAGCAGAUAAGACCCUCCACAGGUUACGUAAGGACUACACUGAGGAAGAGAUAAAGGAAGAACUGAACGACAUUGAGUUUACUGUACUGAACUCAAACAAUUCUUUAAGGGACGCAUUUAGUGAUAUAUUUAGAUGGAGGAUACUGGAAAGUGUUUUCAUUCAUUAAUAGGAUACUGUUGGGAGUUAUACUGCAAAAGGAAUGUCAUCAUGUAUUACUCAACCUCAAUAUUCUGCAGUAUAGACGUAUCCAGUUAUGCUGCUACAGCAAUAGUGGGUGUGGUAAACUUCUUGACUACUCUCAUCACUCUCUUUAUUGUCGACAAGGUUGAACGUAAGACCCUGUUGCUAGUUGGGGCACUUUGUAUCUAUACUGGCAGCUGGUCUCCUCAUUUAUAUCUUUAAUGUUGAUGAGGAGAGAGAGGAGGAGGAGAGACAGGUUGUUGGAUAUUUUGUGGCUCUCCUGAUUGUACUCUUUGUGUCUUUCUUUGCAUCUACCUGGGGGCCAGUUGUUUGGGUAAUGACUAGUGAAAUAUUCCCUCUCUCUGUUGGAGUUUUUGGGAACUUUGUGGUUGCUAUGGUAACCCCAUUACUUCUCGGUUCUGUACUAAAGACGGCCGGUACAUUCUACAUACUGGCAGGGUUUCUCUUUGCCUCAUUUUUAUUUGUGUUGCUAACACUUCCUGAAACAAAAGGAGAGAGUUUAGAGAGAACAAGAACAUAAAAAAUUUAAAAAAACAAGAUUGAGUAUAGCUGCAUGGGAAAAUGUGUUGUUGUCCAUGGUCUAAUGCUUGUAGGGUAAGGACUGCACAAGAAGAGGACACUGUAGCCAUUGUUGGUAUAAAGAAUGAGAACA